GACGAACGCUGGCGGCGUGCCUAAUACAUGCAAGUUGAGCGCUGAAGGUUGGUCCUUGUACCAACUGGAUGAGCAGCGAACGGGUGAGUAACGCGUGGGUAAUCUGCCUUUGAGCGGGGGACAACAUUUGGAAACGAAUGCUAAUACCGCAUAAAAACUUUAAACACAAGUUUUAAGUUUGAAGGAUGCAAUUGCAUCACUCAAAGAUGAUCCCGCGUUGUAUUAGCUAGUUGGUGAGGUAAAGGCUCACCAAGGCGAUGAUACAUAGCCGACCUGAGAGGGUGAUCGGCCACAAUGGGACUGAGACACGGCCCAAAAUCCCUCGGGAGGCAGCAGUAGGGGAUCUUCGGCCAUGGACGAAAGUCUGACCGGGCAACGCCGCGUGAGUGAAGAAGGUUUUCGGAUCGUAAAACUCUGUUGGUAGAGAAGAACGUUGGUGAGAGUGGAAAGCUCAUCAAGUGACGGUAACUACCCAGAAAGGGACGGCUAACUACGUG
rnacentral:rRNA from 1 species